CUUUUCGACACUAGGUGCCACCAGUAGGAGUGUACCUGAGGCGACAGGUGUUGUGCAUCUACUCAUCAGCUGGGAAGCAUAUAGAGGAAGGUUGCCAAUACCUCGGCGCCUGAGUGUUUUUGCCUCCGUGGUGUGAAUCCUACCUGAUCUGUUCCAGUCCUCCGUAGUGGCUAAGGCUA